rnacentral:rRNA from 1 species
UACGGGGGGGGCAAGCGUUGUUCGGAAUUACUGGGCGUAAAGGGCUCGUAGGUUGCCAACUAAGUCAGACGUGAAAUCCCUCGGCUCAACCGAGGAACGUCGAUCGAUACUGCUGUUCUUGAGGAUUGCAGAGGAGACUGGAAUUCCCGGUGUAGCGGUGAAAUGUGUAGAGAUCGGGAGGAACACCGGUGGCGAAGGCGGGUCUCUGGGCAAUUCCUGACGCUGAGGCGCGAAAGCGUGGGGAGCAAACGGG